rnacentral:rRNA from 1 species
AUUGAACGCUGGCGGCAUGCCUUACACAUGCAAAUCGAACGGUAACGGGCCUUCGGGUGCCGACGAGUGGCGAACGGGUGAGUAGUACAUCGGAACGUGCCCGAUCGUGGGGGAUAACGAGGCGAAAGCUUUGCUAAUACCGCAUACGAUCUACGGAUGAAAGCAGGGGACCGCAAGGCCUUGCGCGGACGGAGCGGCCGAUGGCAGAUUAGGUAGUUGGUGGGAUAAAAGCUUACCAAGCCGACGAUCUGUAGCUGGUCUGAGAGGAUGAUCAGCCACACUGGGACUGAGACACGGCCCAGACUCCUACGGGAGGCAGCAGUGGGGAAUUUUGGACAAUGGGCGCAAGCCUGAUCCAGCCAUGCCGCGUGCAGGAUGAAGGCCUUCGGGUUGUAAACUGAUUUUGUACGGAACGAAAAGCCUUCUUUUAAUACAGGAGGGUCAUGACGGUACCGUAAGAAUAAGCACCGGCUAACUACGUG